rnacentral:lncRNA from 1 species
CUUGUCCAUCCCGCGGGACACGCAUAAGUUGCAGGGAUCAUCAUCUUGGCACUUCGUGUUGAGANGUGGCAUACAGCGCAUGGGGCGCCACGAUGGUAAAGAGAAACAUCGUCAUCUUGGCCCUGCAUUGAUCCAGCUUCAUCACAAACCGCCAAGAGGAUAAACACUACUAACACCACCACCAGCAUCUUACACAAGGCCAUCUAGAAAACCCACCACCUGCUACAAGAAGAACAGCUAACCCCAACAACACAGCCUUACCCGAUGCUUGAGGAACCUGACUCAUCAUAAUCAAGCACGACCUGCUACAAGAAGAACAGCUAACACCAACAACACAGCCUUACACGAUGCUUGAAGAA